AAUCAGUGAUCAAAUAUUUGCUUUUUCAUCUUAUUUUUCAUGCAAAAAUUAUUGAGAAUAAAAUAUAAAAAAAUAUUAAAUAGUGAUGUGAAAAUUGUAUUUGUACAAGCCCAAUUUUGGGCCCAAAACCCCUAAACCCACUAAGCCACAACCCAAACCAACUUAAACCUACCCAAAACCCAAAUAACCUAGCCUAAUACAUUAAAGAAAAAUAAAGGAAAACCUAAAACCCUAGCCGUCAGCACAUGCUCCCCACCCAUCCACCACCGACGCCUGUAAGUGGCCUCUGCUCCACCACCAUUUGCCUGCAACAAUAAAAGAAGAAGAGACAGAUUAGUCAAAAAGAGCAAGUUGUAGAAAAAACGCCUAUAAAAGGCUGAAUCCAUUACCAUUUGUAAGAUCGGCACUUGUGAAAUAAAAACAAUAUUAGAUUUCAAACAUACAAGCAAAAAAUAGAGACCCUAGUAACAUCAAAAAGCAAGAAAUAACCCAAUAUCAGAAAUCGGAGAACCGAAAAUACCAAGAUCUAAGGUGAUUUUUACUUUACUUUCGUUUUGUUUUCGGAGCCAUUUUUUUCUUCUCACUUACAUAUAUAUAUUAAAAACAUAAAAAAAAUAAAAAAGGGAGAAAAAUAAACCUUUUGGGAUUCCGGCCACCGCACGACGGCGGACGGAGGUGGUCCGGCAACUGAGGCUCCACCGGAGAGGAGAAGCUUGAGAGGAUUUGGGGGAGAGUUUUUAGCUUUUUCUGGAAAAGAA
rnacentral:lncRNA from 1 species